rnacentral:rRNA from 1 species
AGUGAACGCUGGCGGCGUGCUUAACACAUGCAAGUCGAACGAGAACGGAUUAUAGCUUGCUAUAAUUGUCAGCUAAGUGGCGCACGGGUGAGUAAUGUAUAGGUAAUAUGCCUCUUACUAAGGGAUAACAAUUGGAAACGAUUGCUAAUACCUUAUAUUCCUUUUUAUCAAAAGAUAAAAAGGGAAAGAUUUAUUGGUAAGAGAUUAGCCUGUAUUGUAUCAGUUAGUUGGUGGGGUAAUGGCCUACCAAGACAAUGACGCAUAACUGGUUUGAGAGGAUGAUCAGUCACACUGGAACUGAGACACGGUCCAGACUCCUACGGGAGGCAGCAGUGGGGAAUAUUGCACAAUGGACGAAAGUCUGAUGCAGCAACGCCGCGUGGAGGAUGACACAUUUCGGUGCGUAAACUCCUUUUAUAUAAGAAGAUGAUGACGGUAUUAUAUGAAUAAGCACCGGCUAACUCCGUGCCAGCCGCCGCGGUAAUAC